rnacentral:lncRNA from 1 species
GAUAUUUGUUUAAAUUGAAAUCCGCAUUGCACAUGGUGAGAGUGAUGGAUGUCUUGCUGAUCAGGAGUUUCCUAGGGGACCACGAUACACGAGCCUUGCCAAGUACACGAGCAAUGAGGAAGAUGAACCUCCAGAUGGUGAUUGGAGGCAAGAGAAACUGAAGCUGCAGAAAGCUGAGGAGAAAGAAGCAAUGCUGAAAAGCAAAUGCUAAAGAUGUAGAAGAAACCCUGCAAAGGCCUAGAGGUGAUGGCAGAGUAGACUUGAUCUUUUCCCUGUUUUUCAGAUGC